UUUCACAUACUGUAUGUGUACAAUCACCGCAUGAGUCUAUACACAAAAUGCAUAUAAAGGUAGUCGUUGUUGUUUUUGCAUUGUGUCAUUUAUACUAUGCUGAUGCAGAUGCUGACCCUGCAAAUUUAGAACAAGUUUUUAAAGACAUGGAUACAAACGGGAACAAUAAAGUAACAAAGAAAGAGGUAUCAAAAUACUUGCAGACAAAAGGACUUGGUCUAGAGCCAGAUUCUGACGAUUUCAAACGGAUUGUGCAAUCUUUCUUUGAUUCGUAUGACAAAAAUAAGGACAAAGCUAUAACAGUAGACGAAUUUGCUCCCAAGAAGGAUGAACUGUAAUGCAUAUGAAUAACACAACAAAGGAACGUUUAAUACAAAAUCUGCAUGUUCUAUAUGUUUUUGGAAAAAUAACAUACGUAAGAAUAGAGUGAACAAUCUUAUAAUAUUUCGUGAGAGAUUUUCACCAACAUUAUUAUUUUCAUUAAAAAGAAAUGGUACCUCAA